rnacentral:piRNA from 1 species
UGGAAGGACCAGAAAAGCCUGCCCUCCGGA